UGAGUAACCUGCCCUUAACUCUGGGAUAAGCCUGGGAAACUGGGUCUAAUACCGGAUAUGACUCCUCAUCGCAUGGUGGGGGGUGGAAAGCUUUAUUGUGGUUUUGGAUGGACUCGCGGCCUAUCAGCUUGUUGGUGGGGUAAUGGCUCACCAAGGCGACGACAGGUAGCCGGCCUGAGAGGGUGACCGGCCACAUUGGAACUGAGACACGGUCCAGACUCCGUACGGGAGCAG
rnacentral:rRNA from 1 species